CCUACGGGAGGCAGCAGUGGGGAAUAUUGCACAAUGGGGGAAACCCUGAUGCAGCGACGCAGCGUGAGUGAAGAAGUAAUUCGUUAUGUAAAGCUCUAUCAGCAGGGAAGAAAAUGACGGUACCUGAGUAAGCAGCCCCGGCUAACUCCGUGCCAGCAGCCGCGGUAAUACGUAGGGGGCAAGCGUUAUCCGGAUUUACUGGGUGUAAAGGGAGCGUAGAAGGCAGUGCAAGUCUGGAGUGAAAGUCGGGGGCUCAACCCUCGGAUUGCUCUGGAAACUGUACGGCUGGAGUGCAGGAGAGGUAAGUGGAAUUCCUAGUGUAGCGGUGAAAUGCGUAGAUAUUAGGAGGAACACCAGUGGCGAAGGCGGCUUACUAGACUGUAACUGACGUUGAGGCUCGAAAGCGUGGGGAGCAAACAGGAUUAGAUACCCGUGUAGUC
rnacentral:rRNA from 1 species